GACCGCCGGAGCGACGAGGCCGCAGGACAGCAGCCAGAUGCCGGUGAGGACGGAGGCGCAGGUGGUCACAGUGGUGCGCUUCUUCAGGGGAUGAACGGUCGCGUAGUAUCUGUUAGGAAAGAGCAGAAAGUCGCACUUAAGCCUCUGGGGGCCAAAACGGAAUAAUGGUUGGCCAAAUCCAAACUCCCACUGAGAUGGCACUAAUGAGAAAGGGUACUAGAAUCCAGCAGAGAGUCUGAGGUCUACUGCUGCACAUGACCCGAUGGAGAACGAUUAAUGGAAGUCAGACAGCAGGUAUACCUCGGCUCCUCUCCCUUCUGCUUCCUUUCAAUUGUCAGGAGGAGCCCACAUUAUCAAGAUAACACGCAGCAGACCUGCUCACUAUGCAUGAGGCCUUCACCUUCGGCGGUUUCCGAGAAUUUUGAUGGAAGAUGAGACCGCCAGAAAGGGGGUUGUUGUUAAUUUGGCAACCAAGUCACACAGGUUCUGACUGGAGGUGAAUCUGAUAUCAUCAUGGGGGUCAACGCAGAUUCGGGCAAUAUGGCUAACACUGAGGCUCUCACCAGGGGGAGUGACUUAGCCUCGACUUGGUGGUCACUGAGCUUGAAGUGCCGAUAAAAGGUACUACAGGCCAGAGUGAAUGAGUGUAUGAAAAAUAUGGCCAAUUUGAAGGUAAAUGGUUUCCUACAUAAGAAUUCUGAUGCGACCAUGUACUUUCACCUGAGCAGAGCGUAAGUGGCCACAGCACAUUAAUGGAAGGGAAAAUAACGUCCCAAAUCAGCUGUAUCUAGCAGUGGGAGUGAUGUUGGAUAUUACCUUAACAUCACCAGCUGCACUUACGUAGGCUUUACACGGGCUUUUAAGCCAUCUGUUUGCUCUUAUGGAAUCACGAUGUUUACUGUCCAACACGGAGCAGCACAACUGGCUUGUGGAGGUUGGCAGAUAAGAACAUACUGUAAAGUUUGAAGGACAUUACAGGAUGGACAUGAACAGUGUGAAGAUGAAGGCUGCGUUUAUUAUCACAUACACCAUAAAAAAAACAUACAAUGUGUUGUGAAAUUCGAUUUCAGCACCUUACAGUAAGUACUAGGAGCAGAGGGCAUCAGAAUGCAAUGUUAUUGAUAGCCAAAUGUGUUUUGUGCUUAAAAUUAAACAGACGUUAAAAACA